UGUGUAUGAUGACACAUCAGUAAUGCUGCAGACUCUAGAGUCUGGCCCAGUAGAGAAGCCAACCUUAAAAAGCCAAAGGCAAA
rfam:Otolemur garnettii contig093718, whole genome shotgun sequence.